CCUACGGGUGGCAGCAGUGAGGAAUAUUGGUCAAUGGGCGCGAGCCUGAACCAGCCAAGUAGCGUGAAGGAUGACUGCCCUACGGGUUGUAAACUUCUUUUAUAAAGGAAUAAAGUGAGGCAAGUGUGCCUUUUUGUAUGUACUUUAUGAAUAAGGAUCGGCUAACUCCGUGCCAGCAGCCGCGGUAAUACGGAGGAUGCGAGCGUUAUCCGGAUUUAUUGGGUUUAAGGGGAGCGUAGAUGGGUUGUUAAGUCAGUUGUGAAAGUUUGCGGCUCAACCGUAAAAGUGCAAUUGAUACUGGCAGCCUUGAGUACAGUAGAGGUAGGCAGAAUUCGUGGUGUAGCGGUGAAAUGCUUAGAUAUCACGAAGAACUCCGAUUGCGAAGGCAGCUUACUAAACUGCCACUGACAUUGAUGCUCGAAAGUGUGGGUAUCAAACAGGAUUAGAUACCCGAGUAGUC
rnacentral:rRNA from 1 species